rnacentral:lncRNA from 1 species
AUACACUUUCUUUCCAGGUUCAAAAACACUGACCUGCACAGCAGCUUCCAUUCCUUGGCUUUGAAUCAAAGCUUCCUGGGUGAAUCAUGGGACUGGAAGCCCUCCAACAAGAAUUUGGGUGCUGUCUGGCCGUGUGAUCAUGGACUUAGAAAGCAUAACUCCAACCGGUCCUUAGAGGCUGCUUUGUGGAUUGCUAAAGGCCAUCCAAAAUCCAAUUUUGUUGUUGUUGGAAUGCAACAUCAUCCUGCACUUACAGAAUUAUCCUUUAAGAACUGCAGAGUGCUUUUCAAAUGAAGAUGCAUCUUCCUGAUGAACUAGAAGGAAAAAUGAAGGAACUGGAUGAUUUAUAUAUCUUCUUGCAAUAGGAGAGUGAAUUGGCAAAAUGUGAAAGAAUAAAAUACCAGAGUCUCCGCCCCCUCUUACUAGCAUCCUGUAUUGUAAAACUUAACUUUCUUUUUCUUCAGAAAUUCUUGGAAUUAUGUCAGGCAAAAAAAAAAAAAAAAAAAAAAAAGCAACUUGAUCUUUGGCUUUGGGGUACUUUAUAACAAGGAUGUAAAGCAGCUACGAAUCUGGGAAUCCAUACACAAUGAUGUCCUUUUGAAAGGCAUUUGGCAUUGAAAAGCAUCAAGGCUAUUUUCUUUAAUGAGGAGCUUGCAUUUGCUCUGUAAAUUAUUUCAUCAAACUGUCUAUUUUAAAGCAAUUGAUAAUCCUAGGGAAGCAUUACCAUAAGCAACACAUUUUAACUGUUGCUAGCAUGUCAGGCAAGAAAAUAAAUACCAUGAUAUAUCAGACCAAUAACAAGUCAGAAAAAUACUGUCUCUGAGAGGGAGAUGAAAGAAUUUUUCUGACCGGGUAUAAUACAGUGGAAUUAUUUGUUGUACUGUGGUAUGAUACUAAACUCAGUAUGUUAGGUCCAAUUUGGGUAUAAUCAAGACUCUUUGAAAAACAAUUGCCCAUGAAACACCAUAUGCAUGGUUUAGGUAUGAACCCUGAGCAAAACAAAUGGAAGGCUGCAUGCCUCCUUCUGAUGCUUUGCCUUUAAACUAAAUGAAUAGAAGACCGGCGGAGAAUUCUUUAGUAGUCCCAAUUGCCUGCAGGGUUUGUGUACUCCUUGAUAAUAUAAAGCUGUAUAAAAAUCACAAUGUUCAUAGCAAUUUUUU